GACGUAGGUGGCGAGCGUUGUUCGGAAUCACUAAGCAUAAAGCACACAUAAACAACCAAGUCAGUCAGGUGUGAAAUACCUCGGCUCAACCGAGGAACUGCGCCUGAUACUGCUUGGCUUGAGGUCCGGAGGGGAGAGUGGAAUUCCCGGUGGAGCGGUGAAAUGCGUAGAGAUCGGGAAGAACGCCGGCGGCGAAAGCGACUCUCUGGUCGGAAUCGUGACGCUGAGGUGCGAAAGCUAGGGGAGCAAACGGGG
rnacentral:rRNA from 1 species